rnacentral:rRNA from 1 species
UACGUAGGGAGCAAGCGUUGUCCGGAAUCAUGGGGCGUAAAGCGCGCGUAGGUGGCCCCGUAAGUCCGCUGUGAAAGUCAAAGGCUCAACCUUUGAAAGCCGGUGGAUACUGUCGGGCUAGAGUACGGAAGAGGCGAGUGGAAUUCCUGGUGUAGCGGUGAAAUGCGCAGAUAUCAGGAGGAACACCAAUGGCGAAGGCAGCUCGCUGGGACGAUACUGACGCUGAGACGCGAAAGCGUGGGGAGCAAACAGG